AGGAGAUGGAGUUUGAGACACGAAAGAGGGACAUUUAGCCUCGUAGGCCAGGGUGAGAAGUUUCUUGUUCUGUGAGAGUCAGAGAUGUCUUUCUCAAAGAUCACUUUGGUGUGGACUGAGGGAGACUAGUCAUGGCCAUGGCAGGCUCUCAGGCAUGGCCAGGCCAGGAAGUGCUGUGGAGUGCUGGAUGCUGAGCUCCCCAGGUGAUUCUAGGUACAGUCCAAUGGUGAUCCAGCAAGCGGCAGAGAUUGAACUUUCGAAGACUCAUCGAACCCCACCUUCUCCCCACGUCCUUGCGCCCGUCUGACCUGGUCCCACGAGGCUCGCCUGGAGAGAAUGGGUAUGAUGCAACCCUGGUGUCGUGAAAUAGCCGGGUAAGAGGAUGCGCUGCUCGUCGGCCUGAUUCACAACACCAGCUGCAGCAAGAUACCAGAACUCCGCUGGCUUCUCCUCUGGGUCGUGGCUCCUCUGGUUUUCAGACAGUGACAAACCCACACAAACAUCUUCCCCAGGGCCAGAGAGGCACCAGGGCCUGGGUCUGCAAACGUGAAAGCUGAGCCUCUGCCCACAUGGGGCUCACAGACUUGAUCACAGGGAAGAGGGAAAGAGAAAGAUGCAAAACCCUGUACAGUGCAAGAGGAUCAGAGCUGCAAUGGAGGACCAGGCCUGGGAAGAGCUGGGAAGCCAGAGGCUGGGCUGCAGCCUUUCUGGCAACCAGGACCAAGAAACUGGGAUUUCUCUUAAGCCUGCAGAGCUUGUGGUGUGUCUAUUGCAGUCCUGCUCCUUCUACCUGGACAUUGUUAAAGCAGUCCGACACUAAAGUAUUUUGAAGCUACUGGCAGCUAAAGCAAGAAGG
ensembl:lncRNA